rnacentral:rRNA from 1 species
UACGUAGGGUGCAAGCGUUGUCCGGAAUUAUUGGGCGUAAAGAGCUUGUAGGCGGUUUGUCGCGUCUGCCGUGAAAUUUCGAGGCUCAACCUCGAACUUGCGGUGGGUACGGGCAGACUAGAGUGUGGUAGGGGAGACUGGAAUUCCUGGUGUAGCGGUGGAAUGCGCAGAUAUCAGGAGGAACACCGAUGGCGAAAGCACUCUGCUGGGCCGACACUGACACUGAGAGACGAAAGCUAGGGGAGCGAAUGGG